UACAGAGGUCUCGAGCGUUUAGGCGGAAAUCACUGGGCUUAAAGCGUGUGUAGGUGGAUCGUUAAGUACCUUGUGAAAUCCCACGGCUUAACCGUGGAACUGCUUGGUAUACUGGCGGUCUUGAGUCAGCUAGGGGCUACCGGAACAAAUGGUGGAGCGGUGAAAUGCGUAGAUAUCAUUUGGAACGCCAAUGGUGAAAACAGGUAGCUGGGACGGUACUGACGCUGGAGACGCGAAAGCGUGGGGAGCAAACAGG
rnacentral:rRNA from 1 species